rnacentral:lncRNA from 1 species
CUGCCCCUCUCGACUCCCUUACUUCCCAGAGCUCCUCUCCCUCCGUGAGCCCGUCCUCUCCCUCCUCCCCCAAGCUCCUCCCUGGUGGUGGCGGAGGGCCCUCUCCCCCUGAGCCGCUCCACCGGUGGAGGCGCUCCCCAGCAAUCGAAUCUGGCAACCUCGAUGGCGGCGCCCUCCCUCAAACUGCUUCAUCGGUGGCGAGGUGCAGUUCUCCCUAGAGCUGCUUCCUCGUCGAUGAUGUGCUCUCCUCCCUCGAGCUAUUUCUCGGCAAACGGUGCGCCCUUCCCUCCCCCAUCUCCUUCUCCGGCGACCGUAGCGGCCGGAUCUAUUGUUAGUGGCUGGUUCCGCCACCGUUGUGGCCAGAUCUAGCGGAGGUGUGGUGGUGCGAGGUGGAGAUGCGACGCCCCCUGCUACGGCGAAGGUGUGGUGGCCAGAUCUAGCAGACGCACACACGGCAGAUCAAGCUUCCCUGGUGGUGGAUCGAGCAAUCUCGGUUGUGGCGCUCACAAGGUGGGGCCUACACCCACGACGACAGCGACGCGUAGGGGUGGCAGCGCGAGUCCCAGAUCCAAGUCCAUUAGGUCUAGGUUGUGGGUUUUUUCAUUGUUUUUGAUUUUUUUCAUACUGAUUAACCGAGGUGGGCAAAGUACCCGCCUCCAUGGUAUGCCUAUUAAUGGUAUUAAUGGUGACCUUCAAUUAGAGGCGGUUGAGAUGCCCGCCUUCAUUAACCCAUUCUA